AUUGCCAGUUCACUGGUACGCCCCGUGCAUGCAUGAAAAUAAAGAGGCCUCAGGCGAUUCUGAUCCAAACACAACGCAUGGUCGUUUUUCCACAACAAUCUUGGUGCUGUGACUCGGAUCCACAGACUGUCCACCGGACCAGGAGACCGCGGACCAUUCCCCUCCGAACCCAGCCGGCAUUUGAUAGGUGGAGGAAAUGUAACUGAUGAAAUCUUCAUCUCGAAAGAGCACAAGAAGUUGCUUUAGUGAAUAAAGCAAUAAAAAUGGGAGCUACUUGUUCAGAUGUGAAAUGAAGGUCUUCCAAAUAAAGGGAGGAUGAUAAGAGGCUGCUGAAUUUACGAAAAAAAGUCAGCCAGGUUUUUCUAAUAUGAGAUAUGAACAGACCAGGUGGUCAUUCCUACCAGGGAGAAGUGAGGGGAGAAGAACUGUGGUGGACCUCACUUGUCAUGGGGAGAGUAUGAAAAGCAGACGCAAGACAAAGCAACAUGGACUUGCCAGCUGCUCAAUCCAUUGAGGACUCCAAUGACAAGAUGCUGUUAUUUCAAGGAAAAAGAAAACAAAAAAACCUUCAAAUAGUUCAGCUAGUAACAAAUCUGAAUCUGAAGCAAGUCAAGAGAACAUCACAGACAUGGAGAUGAGAGAAAUGCAGCUGAUUUGAAUGUUGAGGGUGUGAAAACUUCGGGAAGUUCCUAGAAGAUCUGUGAUAUCUACAGAAAGGAAACAAGCUAAACUCAGCACUGCUGCCAUGAGGUAAGGAACUCCCCUCCUAAUGGAGAAAUUGAUGGAUCUGGUUUCCCUUCAGGAGAAAGAAAUGCAGCUGAUCUGAUCUCCUAGGGAUUGAGGACUAUAAGCAGUCAGAUGCCUUAACAAAGGAACACAUGUUGCCAGAUCUGCAGAGAAAAAAAAAGUUGCCUUCCUUGACUAGAAUGGGAAGACAAUCACUUCUCAAGUUUCAAACCCACAAUGCAGCAGCCCAUCAUUGACAAGGAGGAGAAGAGUUCCAGAGGCUCAGUGCUGGAGUACAAGGGAAUAGGAAUGGAGCUGAACAGAUCCAACACCUGAAAGGACAAUUGGAUCUCAAAAUAUGAAACCAUGAAAAAGACCCUUCAUUCAAUAAAGCAACAGAAUUGGCGCUAAGGAGAGAUGAAGGAAACACAGCCAGCAUGGCCAGUAUUCAUGAAACAAUGUUCAAAAGUUGCCUGGGGUCACCUCUUGGGCUAAGGGGAGCAGCUGGUCCCAUCUGCUGGGAUGGAAGCAAAGAAGAAACCACUGGAGGCUGGUUAGUCCUGGGACACAGACAAUACCCUGGAGGGGCCUGGGGUAGCGUGUGUAACCAUAGUGACCAGUGGGUCCUUUCCCCACUGUGGUCCUGGCUCGCAUGCACAGGGUGAAACUGAUCGCCAUGUUUGGGGUCAGGAAGGAAUUUUCCUCCAGGGCAGAUUGGCCAGAGACCCUGGAGGUUUUUCGCCUUCCUCUGGGGCAUUGAGCAGGGACCAGCCCUUUGGGCCAUUUAGAAACAGACAAUAAAAUCCAUCAGAGAACUUG